UACGUAGGGUGCAAGCGUUAAUCGGAAUUACUGGGCGUAAAGCGUGCGCGGGCGGCUUUGCAAGACAGAUGUGAAAUCCCCGGGCUUAACUUGGGAAUUGCGCUCGAAACUACGUGGCUGGAGUGUGGCAGAGGGAGGUGGAAUUCCACGUGUAGCGGUGAAAUGCGUAGAGAUGUGGAGGAACACCAAUGGCGAAGGCAGCCUCCUGGGCCAACACUGACACUCAUGCACGAAAGCGUGGGGAGCAAACAGG
rnacentral:rRNA from 1 species